ACGUAGGGGGCAAGCGUUGUCCGGAUUUACUGGGUGUAAAGGGUGCUCAGGCGGAUAUGUAAGUCAGAGGUGAAAUCUCACAGCUUAACUGUGAAACUGCCGUUGAUACUGCAAGUCUAGAGUAUGGAAGAGAGUGAUGGAAUGUCUGGUGUAGCAGUGAAAUGCUUAGAUAUUAGACAGAACACCGAUGGCGAAGGCAGUUUCCUGGGCCAUUACUGACGCUAAAGCACGAAAGCGUGGGGAGCGAACAG
rnacentral:rRNA from 1 species